rnacentral:rRNA from 1 species
UACGAGAGGACCGGGAUGGACGAACCUCUAGUGUGCCAGUUGUUCCGCCAGGAGCAUCGCUGGGUAGCUAUGUUCGGAAAGGAUAACCGCUGAAAGCAUCUAAGUGGGAAACCUACCUCAAGAUUAGAUAUCCCUUUUCGGUGGAGACACCGGAACUAAAGAUCUCUUGUAGACUACAAGGUUGAUAGGCCAGAGGUGUAAGUCCAGAAAUGGAUUGAGCUUACUGGUACUAAUGGGUCGUGCGGCUUGACCAU